UCUAAGUCUCUUUAUAUUAUUAAGGGUAAACUUCAAAUGCCCCCUGUGAUUUCAUACAUUCUCACUUUAGUAUCCUAUAAUUUAAAGUGUACCAAGUUAGCUCCUGUGGUUUCGCAUUUUUUCACUUUAGUAUCCUAUGGUUUAAAGUGUACUAAGUUAUAUCCUGUGGUUUCAUUUUUCUCUUUUUAUUAUCAAUUUCACUAAUUUUUUUGAUUAAAUUAGUGACAAAGAAAAAAUUAAAGGGUAAAGUAAAUAUUCGAUAAACCUAGCUAGGGUAGCUGAAGUUUUUUGUAUAUAAUUUAACGAAAUAUAAACGGUCGAAAAAAAAUAGUAACACAGUUAAAACUAAAAGGUACUAAAGUAAAUAUUCGAUAAAUCUAGGUAGCAUAUUUAAAAUUUUUUGUAUAUAAUUUAAAGAAAUAUUAACAGAGGAACCAACGAAAAGUGAAAAACGAAACCACAGGAUAUUAAAUUGAUACACUGUAAACCAUAAGGUACUAAAGUGAAAAAACGUGAAAUUAUAGAAUAUUAAAUUGAUACACUUUAAAUUAAAAACUACUAAAAUAAAAAAAUACGAAACCAUAGAGGUGAUAUUUAAAGUCUUCUGUAUUAUUAAUGAGAACACACACAACAAGGAUAUAGACAUCCACCAUCUCCUGCUUCGCUACUAUGAUUCGCUAGCCAUGGUGCAUUGGAAGUGGUGACAACUAAUCUGACAAAGAUGUGCCAAGCCAGCUUUUUAAAAUGUCAAAGCUUUACAAUAAAUGUCAAAGCUUUACAAUACAUAUAUAAGAAUUUGGGGCAAUUCGUUCAAACUUAGUCCUCUAAAAUCUUAAAGAAAUUUAAGUCUCUUCAAAAUUCUAGCUCGAAUUCUAAUUGAUUGGGCUUGAUGGUUGGUAUCUGAGAUCCUAAAUUUGAAUUCUAAUUGAUUCAAAUUUGUAGCUAAGCAUAUUUCUAAAAGAAAUAAACGAAGCAGAUAUAAAAUAUCAACCAUAUAUUUCUAAACCUACAAAUCUAUUACAAAUACCCCUCUAAACUUUGAAAUCAAGUCUAAAUCCUAAAUCUUUUAAUGUUUGUAAGGACAACAUUGAUAUUUGGUACAAUUUGAGGAUAUUUAUCAAAGGGCAAGUUAUACUUCGCAUAAUAUUUUAGUCUUCAAACUUAAAUUCGUUGUAAUUUUUUGCUCAAAUUGUAAGGCAUGUGAUACUUUUGUCCUUAAAUUUUUUAAAUUAUUGUAAUCAAAUCUCACAAUCCAAAUUUUUUGAACGGGUAUUCAUAAAUUACUAAUAUCGAAAUGUUGUAGCAUCUCAAUCAUGUAUUGUGCAUGAUCAAGUAGGAUAUUUUUACAAUUCAGAAAGUUCAAAAAUUUUGAACAAUCAGAAAUUCAACUGAUUCUGAUUUUUCUAUACUGUUAACUAAAAAACAUUUUAUCCAGAAGUUAAAAAUAUCAGUUUCAAGGCCCUUUGAUCAUAAUAAAUAAAUAAAUAAAUAAAUAAAU
rnacentral:lncRNA from 1 species